rnacentral:lncRNA from 1 species
AGAAAUAAACAAAAUGAAUGUCUAUCGCCAGCCAGCGCAGUGGGAAGACAAACGCACAAAAGAUUUACGGAAUCAAGUUACACUACUGAAUACACAUCUUGGUGUACAAAGGUCAAAGUUGUCAUCAACGAUACCAGAACUCGUGCAAUACUGUGAGAAGCACGCUGUACAGGAUCCUUUCCUAUUUCCUAUUAGAGACAAUCCUUUUAAACCAAUAAGACGACCGUGUUGUAUUAUAUAGAAGAUAACUGGAUCAAAACAUGUGUGAAUGUGAUAAAUAUGUGGUAAUUAUACAAUAUUUAGUACACAGUUACAAGGAGUAGUGGAUUUAGAUAUUAGAAGAUGUGGCAUGACUGCCAAUGAGAAAACUCUCCAUCUAAGUCACAAUUAUUAAAAAGUAAACUUCUAUAGGUCCAACUACAGCCUUGAACAUAGAGGAACCUAAUAGUCCAGUCAAACUAAGAUUUAACCUCAAACUAAUUGCAACAGAAAAUGUUUUAGUUCUAAACUAUAGCAUUAUGCCUUUAAUAUAACAGAAAAAAAGUCCAUAAAAUCAUUACUUGAGGAAAAUCAAAUCAGCAUUUUAUCUUAUGGAGAUUAACAUUGGAAGGGGAGAUAACUUGCAAAAAUGAUCUUUUUUGGUCAGUUGGUUGUUUUCUCAAAUUUUUGUAAAGUAUGAUACUUUGAUGGGGUUAUAAGUUUUUAUUUGACUAAAUUAUAUAAUCUUCUGCUCAUGAAAUGUACAAAACCGAAGUGUUAUGGGUAGUUUUAUUUUUUUCAUGCAUUUUUGUCGAGCCUGCAACUUUUGUUGCAGAAAGCUCGACAUAGGGAUAGUGAUCCGGCAGCGGCGGCGGCUACGGCGGUGGCGUUAGCUAACUUCUUAAAAGGUUUAUAUUUAAGAAGGUGAAAGACCUGGAUGCUUCAUACUUUGUAUAUAGAUGCCUCAUGUUACGAAGUUUCCAUCAGUCACAUGUCCAAUGUCCUUGACCUCAUUUUCAUGGUUCAGUGACCACUUGAAAAAAAAAGUUCAGAAUUUUUGUAAUGUUGAAUUCUCUCUUAUUAUAAGUAAUAGGAAAAAUAUAUUUGGUAUGUGCGUACCUUGGCAAGGUCCUCUGCCGUCAGGACAGUUUUCACUUGACCUGACCUCAUUUCAUGGAUCAGUGAAACAAGGUAAGUUUUGGGUGGUCAAGUCCAUAUCUCAGAUUACUAUCAGCAAUAGGGCUAGUAUAUUUGGUGUAUGGAAGGACUGGAGGUGUACAUGUCCAACUGGCAGGUGUCAUCUGACCUUGACUCCUCAUUUUCAUGGUUCAGUGGUUAUAGUUAAGUUUUUUGUGUUUUGGUCUGUUUUUUCUCAUACUUUAUGCAAUAGGUUUACUAUAUUUGUUUGUAUGGAAUGAUUGUAGAGGUGUACAUGUCUAGCGGGCAGAUGUCAUCUGACCUUGACCUCAUUUUCAUGGUUCAGUGAUGAAAGUUAAGUUUUUAAGUUUUGGUCUUUUUAUCUAAUAUUAUAUAUGCCAAAGGUCAACUAUAUUUGGUGUAUGGGAAUAUAUUAUGAUUUAUAUGUCAGUCCCGCAGGUUUUAUUUGACCAUGACCUCAAUUGCACGGUUCAUUGCACAGUGUUAAGUUUUUGUGUUUUGGUCUAUUUUUCUUAAACUAUAAGUAUAGGUCAACUAUAUAUUUGUUGUAUGGAAGCUUGUUAGCUGUACAUGUCUGCCUGGCAUGGUUCAUCUGACCUUGACCUCAUUUUCAUGGUUCAUUGGUCUUUGUUUAGCUACUUGGUUAAUGUUAAGUUUAUGGACAGUUGUAAUAAAGCUUAAUACUUAGGACUAUCAACAUCAAUAUCAAUGAUUAGUAAAGAAGGCGAGACAUUUCAGUGUAUGCACUCUUGUUGAUUAAAGAAGUUGCAAAUUUGAAGCUUUGUAACCAUUUUGAAAAAAUAAUGUAAAAAUUUGAUAUUGUUUAUAUUGUAUAUUAUAUUUUUCAGCACUUACUUAUCAAACUUAAACCACAAAAAGAAGAAAUACAUGCUUAUUAUUUUUUAUUAAAUGAGAUUCUUUACCUUGACAUGUUGAAAAAUUCAAUAAAGGUCAACUAAUGAAUUACGAAAUAUAGAUUAUAGCUUGGUAAAAAUAUAUGAAACACCUUUAGAGUUGUUUGUUAUACUUUAAAGGCCGCUAAAAAUCAAGAAUCAAUACAUUCUGAUGAAUAGUAGCGGUAAAGUUAUAAUUUUGUAUCAAUUUUUGUUGAUAGUCUGCCUUUUUUGCAAGAGUUAUCUCCCUUUUCAAUGCAAAUCUCCAUAGGAAUUUUAAAUGGUAAUUUUUUUAGUCUUCCUCAAGUUAGAUUUUAUGGGACUUUUUUCUGUGUAUAUUUGGGGUAUAAUGCUAAAGGUUAAAACUUAAAAAUCUUCUGUUGCAAUAACUUUCGGGUUAGGGUCAAAUUUAUGCUAGAUUGACUGAACUAUAAGCUCACACCAAACAGCAAGCUAUAAACUUAAAAGAGCCCUAAAAAUUACAUGUUGUGUAAAACAAUGUUUUACAGGAAAACAAACGGUCUAAUCUUUAUAAAAAAAACAAUGAGAAACUCAUGAAUCACAUCAACAAACGACAACCAAUGAACAAGAGGUAGAGAGAGGAACAUGAAUCUGUCUGUUCUGUUUACAGUUUAACAGACAAAGAGAAAUAAAUGCAUUAUCCAACGUUACCAAUAUUCAAUGUUUAUAGCUUUCUUGACCAUGUUUACCAUUCAGUGCUCUCAACCACUUAGAUUAAUGAUAGGAAAAGAUAUUUGAUGUAUCUUACUGGAUCAGUAAGUUUCCAAUGAUAUGCUCAUAUAAAUAGUUUUGUUCUUUUUGACAUUUACCUUUCUAAAGCUACAUGUAUGCCCUUACCAAACCAACUUUACCGUGCGUAUUGUUGUGCGUUUUUUUUUUCUACAUUGGCUAGAGGUAUAGGGGUCUAAGGGUUGAGAUCUCAAAAAACAUGUUUAACCCGGCCGAAUUUAUGCGUCUGUCCCAAGUCAGGAGCUUCUGGCCUUUGUUAGUCUUGUAUGAUUUUUAAUUUUAGUUUCUUGAGUGUAAUUCGGAAUUUAGCAUAACAUCCAUUUUCACUGAACUAGUAUUCAUAUUUGUUUAGGGGCCAGCUGAAGGACGCCUCUGGGUGCGGGAGUUUCUCGCUGCAUCGAAGACCCAUUGGUGGCCUUCUGCUGUUGUCUGCUCUUUGGCUGGAUUGUUGUCUCUUUGACACAUACCCCAUUUCCAUUCUCAAUUUUAUGAAAAUUAGUGUUUAUUUCCUUUCUUGAUGAUUAUUUAAAAAAGUUCUACUUUGCCAAUUCAAAAGACAUUUGUAAUACAUUGCUUUGAAACAUUGCUUUGAAACAGGUAAUUUUAAUUUGCGAUAAAAGAUUUUUUUCUGCUGGCAAGAGUAGAUGUGAUCAUGCCACUUGAUUGCAUGCAUGUUUCUAGAUUCUGUUGAUAAAUUCCAAUGUCUAAUGAAAUACAAUCUUAUUAUUUAUAAUGAGGUAAAUAUUGACAUGCCUAUUUUUUUUUUUUUCAGAUUCAACAAAUGAUAGAAGUAACUGUAAUACAUAUAUUUUCCACGAAGAAGAAAUUCUGUUGUUGUAGCUGUUAAAAUAGUAAAUGGUCAGUGGAGCUGUUCAAGAUGUUUAUUGUCAGUGGCUUAUAUAUGAUGCUAUUAAUUGCCUUCAAAACUCUGUCAAAAUUACUAUAGUGCCAUUGCUAAAUAGAAAACCAAGAAAAUCUUUUGAAUUUUUUUUAAACUAAAAAAAAUAUUAUAAAAAAAAUUAUAUAUAUUCAUUGCUUAAUAAAUCAUGCCAAACUAGAUAUUUGCUUGUGUGCCUUUAAGUGUGGGUGCUAAUAUAGACAUAUUCAAGAUCUUUAUUGUAUUCCUAUUGAAAUUUGUGAUUUGUGUGAUGUUUAUAUUUUUUUAUAUUGUGAUUACUUUAUUUUGUAUGAUAAAUCAUCUUUUUGACUAUUUGUGCCAGUAAAAUUCCUUCAAAUUCAAAAAGAUAAUGAAAAAAAUGUAUUAAAUUCAUUAUUUAUCCAAAUGAAACUUAAGCUGUAUUCUUUGUUGAUAAUUAACCAUAAGAUUAAUUUUUUUACUUUGAUACGAAAAAUGUAUGUAUAAAAACUGACUUGCUAUUGCCAAAGAUGAUUCCAUUUGGAAAGCUAAUAUGUUUUUUUUAACAAAGCAAAUAGUAACUUCGGACAACAAUUUAUGUUAGUUCUGUUUUGUUUAGUAAUUUUCUAUUUAACUGUUUGAAUGUCAUUUAUUAAAGUGCACAAUAUUAAAUGAUUAUUAAUUUUCUGCUCAACUUUCUUUUUUAGUGGGUUUUAAAUUCACAAUUUUUUCUAGGGGCCAAAACUGUUUGAAUGAUUUUUUGACAUUUUUUCCUGUUUCGCAUUCCAUUAAGAUAAAAUCUAAACCAGUGGAUAUUUUCACAACGUUGUCUAUGAAAAAAUAAGGAAAUAUAUCCUUUCCAAAAAGCUACAUUUACUAGUGGUACCUUAGCUUAAACAUUUUUUACUUCUAAAAGCUAAAAAAAAAUUAGAAAAAAUUGUAUUGUGCUAAUCAAUUGUUUAAAUCUAAUGAUAUAUUGUAAUAAAACAUAGUCAUAUAGUCAUACUUUAUAAAUACAAUAAUUUGUUCACAUAAUAACAGAUGGUUGUAAUUUGACAUUUCAAAUCUAUAUUUUAUUUGUUCAGCAGAAACCACACAUGGAAUUUCUAUCUGUCAGUUAAAAAAGUCUUUGAAUUAUUUUUAUAAGUUUACAUUCUUAAACUUUAGUUCUUCAUCAGAUAUUUUUGUAAGUUCUCUUUUCUUUAACUUUGGCAUUGGAAACUUAUUGGGAACUUAAAUAUUUAAUUUUUAGUGAAUUUAACUCAGUAAAUGAAACAUUUUUCUUUGUCAGUAAGUAAUAAAAUGAUCCUCAUACAGCAGAUAAAAAUUAUUUCUUGUUAUGUAUGUAAUGACCGUUUACAUGUACAUUCAUGUUUUUUUGCAACUGUCCAACCAUUUAUAGAAUCUAUAUAGAAAUUAAUGCAGGUUAAAGUCAGAAUUGCCUCUUAUAGAUUCCUGAAUUUAUUUUUUGAGAAGUAGCGUUUAUGAAACAAUAACUAUGAAUAUUUCAGCAGAUUUUAAUGAAUAUGAUAGUGUGUAUUUUUAUGCUGCUGCAUAUUCAUUCUGUUGGGCACAUUGUUAUAUAUUUAUAUGGUUUGUAAAUGAAAAUUAAUAUAUACUUAUAUAUAUGUGUUGUUAUUAAAAUGCUUUUUUGUCAUUCACAUUUUUGUUGGUAUAAAAGAAGGGGAAAAGAACUUUUGUAUUUCCUUUUGCUAUGGAUUUUUUUUAACAAGUUAUAUAUCUUAAAAUUUAAGAUGUUCUAUUUACUUUCUGGCUAAAAAAAACAUCAUUAGAAUACUAGACAAAAUUGUUUGUGUGAACAUUAGUUUGGGGUUCAGUCACUUUAGUGAUAGGGUCUCCUAGCUCACUCCCUUAACAGUAGAAAACGUCAGUUCAGAUAAGUGCUGAAAAUGAUAUCAUCCUCACCUGGCUCUACUAAUACUAUUAACACUACAGAGAUUAGACCAGGAUACCAGGCUAGUAAAAUGUAAAGUUAAACUUCACAGUCAUAGUUAUCUUUCUUGAAUCAGAUAAUAUUAGUAGAGAGGAUAUAUUUUAAAUGUUUGAAUAGGAUAUUCCAUAAUAAUGGUUUAUAAGGGUUUUUACAGUUUCUUAUAAGGGUGCAUAUUGAAAACUAUUUUCAAUUAAGGUAAUUUUCUGAAAUUAUCUGUUUUUCAAAAAUGAUAUACAUAGAUGGUGAAGGGUGUUUUAUGUAAUGUACAAGAAACAAUCAUUGUUUACUUGUGUAAAUUUGCAACUUGAUUAACUCCAUAACAUAUAAAUACAAUGUAUUUGUCUUAAUACAGUCAUGUUUUUGUAACAUAUUUUAUUAUCAUUACAUGCAAAGAACCUAAUGAUAUGAAAUCAAAAUAUACUAUAGCAAAGAGCUUUCACAUGUGCAAUGUUGUAAUUUAUAUUUGUAAAGGACUACUGUGCAAUGUAUAUUUAUGUGUAAACAAUUUUUCUGAUACUUUUUUGUUCAAAAGUUAAAUUUUACAAGUGAUCUGUUUUACUCUGAUUUUCUGCAGUGUAACAAUUUCAAUUCUUUUUACUUUUUCUACAUUGUAACAUUGUAAAUUCAACCUGGUAAAAUGAUAUAUUUGUGCAUUAAGUGAAAAAAAACCAUCUGAAUUGACCACAUUGUAUUAUAUUAAUUUUAAAGUACAGCUAGAAAAUGAUAAUAUAUGCACAAAUGACAUUGUCAUAAACAAACCACAAUGUCACAAUGAACAAACCACAAUGUCAUAUUACAUUUGUUGACAAUAACCAGAGUAUUGAAAAAGAACCAAUGAUUGCCUUGUUUGAUUAUAGUGAUUAAAGUAAUACUGUUUUAUCUGUUGGCAUGUUUUUGUUUAUACUAACUGUUAAAGUUGUUUUUAACUAUUCCAGGAACCUAUGCACAAUUAUGUUUUUGGGUUAUUCCAUUAAGAUUGAUAGGGGAGGGUUGAAAGGAAUUUUUUAUUUUUGGAAAAGGGCCUUUGUACUGAUGUAUGUACAUUUGACCUACCGGUAUUCAAAAUUACAAAAAGUAAGUAGUAGGGAGAAAGGGAGGAUUUUGAAAGUUCCGUUCUUCCACUUUUAAUACAUCCUUUAUAAUAGGAUAUUCAAACUUAAGUCCAAAAUUGAUGCAAUUUUCAAUGGUAAAUUUGUUGCUAAAAUUGCAAAGGCCCGACCCGUUAGGAGGUCAUAGGUUCCUGGAAUAGUCUUUCCCUCGUUUGAUUUUAAAUGAAAAAGUGAAGUUUGAAAAUCGGGCAGGUUAUAGUUUUAGUUAUAGUUGACUUUUAUUUCUGUGAACACUCCAAUGAUCCAAUCUAAUAUUGGCUUCAAAAUGAAUUUUAAGGAAUAAGUAUAAUAAAAACGCAUACAAAACACUCCAUAGCUUUAAAUUUUUUUAAUUUUUCAUACAAAAUUAGAGACAGGAUAACUCUGAAUCAUUUGGAAUGAAAGUCAGCUGUUAUUAAAAGUUUAUUUGUUACAACCAUACAGGUAAAGUCAUGGGCAUUUCAAUAUGCUGAUGUCUAGUUUUACAUAAAAGUGGAAAUAGCAGAAUUAAUCUAUUCAAAUGAGAUGUGGAGUAUAUAUCAAUGAGACAUCAACCUAACAACACAAUCAAAACAAGAACAAAUUUAAGUCUAUUUUGUAGACUACGGUACAUGUCAAGCUCGCUCAACAAAUUGUGAGGCGAUCAAAGAUCAGUCAUUACCAAUUCAAUUAAUAAAACCCAUUAGGGUGAACUUGAAAACAUUCAGCUGUAUAUGAGUGUCCUGAUUUUUGAAUAGGUACUUAAACUUAAGCCAGGUCACACAAAUAUUGAAUAUUUCUAUUUUAACAUUUUUAAUCUUUUUAAAGGGAUAAAAUAUAUGCAUUAAAAAAUUCACAAUAAAUAUUAGGGCAGAGAAACACAAAGAAAGGAACACCAUAAAAUUGGCAUAAGAAACAAUGAAAAUGUAUGUUUAAUGAUGUAAUUUCUGGUCAUGGAGUCUGGAUUAUACUGAAAUAGUCACACUUUUUCAUCUGUUUUUUUGUCUGUCCAUCCAUUCUAAGCUUACAUCUUUUGUUCCAUAUUGAGAAUUAUAUGAUAUUUGGUCUAGAACUUUUAAAUGCAAGAUUCUAAUGAAAAUGAUUUUCAGUGAGACUGGGUAUUCACAUGCAGUUUGACGAUAUUUGGAAAUUAAAAUAUACCCACUGAGGAUAGAACAUUUUAUCAAUGUCUGAUAACAUGUAGUAAUAUACACGUACUUUGGUACACAAUUCUUGUUUAAUGUAGAAAUAAGAGGAUGUGGUAUGAUUGCCAUUGAGAUAACUCUCCACCAGAUACUAAAUGACUUAGAAGCUAGCAACUAAGAUGUUUAAAAUCAACAAAAAACUAUUUAAAGUAUGGUGUUCAAAUCAUAGCAGAUUCUGACAAGGCAAACCUUUAAUAAAACAUUAAUUAACAUGGACAAUAUUUACUUUUAAGCAUGCUGUCCAUGCUAUUAUUUAGUUAUGGUACAGUGUCAGAAAAGUCUGUCCAAAACAUUGGAAAUAUCCUUAGGGACUUGUACAUUUUGUUUGGCCGUCUUAAUAAGCUAUUUUUGUUAUGUCAGUUCAUAUCAUCACAGAGUUUAAUUUUAAACCUUAGGUUGAGAACUAGUGUGUUAACUGCAUGGCAUUGAAACAAACCUUAAAAUUUUACAAUAAAAUUUCCCUUUUGCGGUCUAAAUUUCUUAAAUUUUUUUUCUCAACCCUCAAAAUUAAUGUAGAUGCAUUGUAUAAUUUGGUUUGAAAUUGAAUAUUUAUAAAUUAUUGCAGCUGGAUGAAACUCAAUAAUAGAUCCUUUUUAUAGUUCACACUUGUUAAAAUUGCAGCUAGCACAAGAUUACACAUUGUAAUAAUUCUACAAUAAAUAGUAUUUAACAGCCUAGAAAUUUCAAGUGAACUAUAAUAGACCAUGUGUUCCCCGCCAAACUUUAUUUGCUUUGAAUUAUUGUAAAUAUUUGACAAAUUCAGACCUGUUGCUUUGUGCAUUGUUUAAUUUAGAAUAAAAUAUUAAGGUAAUAUCCUAUAGACGACUUUCAAAAUUGUUCACUUUCCUGUAAAUUAAAUUUCCUAUGUCACAAUGUUUUUGAUAUGACGUCACAGUAGGAAUCAAUUAUUUGAUGAUGUUAAUUGUUUAUGUGGAUUUAAUUACCUUCCGCAUCCAGUGUAACUCAUCCAUAAAAAAGCACCUUGAGGCUUGUGUAAUGAUUUUGUAAAUAGUAAUUUACAGGACAGAAUUUCCAAGGGAAUUACAUGGAAUCGCAAAUGCACCUUCAACAGUUACAAUUCAAAAUGCAUAAUAUCGACUUUAGCAGUGCUUAUUUAUUUUCAAGAGGGGGUUCAUACGCCCCUUAAAACCCCCUGGCUUUGAAUGUGAUUUAAAUGUUACACUUAUAAAAGACCUAGAUAGAAGCCUUUGUAUUCUGUAAUGACCUCCAAGCUAGCCUCUACAGAUGAAGGUCAAAUGAUCAACUAAAUAGGUAAAUUGAUUUCUUGGAUUGAAUAAAAUAAGAAAAAAAUAGAAUAUGGAGAAUAGUUAGGUUUAGUUGUAAUUAGAUGGCAACUAGCCAAUAUGAUAUCCAAACAAACUUAUAAAUGUUGCUGCUUUACAGCAGUAAAAGGUCCCAGAUGAAUUUGGAACACUAUUUAAUGGAAAUGAUGUAGUUUUCUCUUUAGAAUCAGAUUCUAUAAAUGAUCCCAGGAGUUUAGGACAUGAACCUCUCUGUUUCUAGGUAUAAACUAAACUUUAAUCAUAAGAUGGCAAAAUAAAGAGCUAGACACAUUAUUAAAGAACUUUUAAUGAGUUGAAAAAAAAUUAAACACAGAAAAAAAGAAUAAUGAGGGCCAUGGCCAAAAAGUUAACAUAUCUGAUAGAAAAUAUAUUUUAUGCAAAUUUGCUAAAUUUGAACAAUUUUAUGAAUAAUUGCAGUAAACGAAAAUAACUGGAGUGAAACUAUAGUUAUUUUAUGCACACUGUAACAUAUAUAUUUAUUUCAGUAUACCUAUAAAAAUGUUCAAAAAAGCUCUUGGUAGAUUUCUGAGUGAACAGUUACUAGAAGUUGGUUAUAUUACGAGAACUAAACAGAUAAUUAGAUGAUGGUAACAACCACUGGACUUAAGGACAUGCUGGACUUAAGGACAUGGCAGAGGUAUGAUUAACAAUAUUGUGGUGCCCACUUGUUAAACCAGGUUUAUAGUGCUUAAAAUCCAGAUUAUUUGGGAAAGGAACAAUAGACAUUACAAAUAGAUAAAGGAUAGAUAUCAUCUGAACAAUGAUAAGAUACAGUUGAGACAUUGUAAAAUCGUCAUUUAUUUCAAGGAAGGGCUUGUUUUGGCUAAUAUAAUGAAUUUGACAAAAUCAAGAAAUAUGCCUUUGAGUAAAUUUGAUCUUUAAGGAAGAUUAGAAACAAAGUUAAGAAAAACACACAAAAGCUCAUAAACUGGUUUGGCCUUUGAGAACACUGAAAAAAAACUCUUUGUAAGGAAUAACCCCCUUUUUUCAGUUUAUCAGAUAGAUUCCUUGUUCUAAAAACACUUUGAAAUUAAUGAAUCCUAAAGCUUUGUCUUGAGAAAUUAACUGUCUUAUAAUACUUUUUAGCUCAACCUGGCCCGAAGGGCCAAGUGAGCUAUUCUCAUCACUUGGCGUCCGUCAUCCUUUGUCCUUUGUCGUCGUUAAUUUUUUACAUUUUGAACUUCUUCUAGAGAAACAAUGAAUGGUAUGAAACCAAACAUGGCAUGCAUGUUAAGCAUGAGGUGCUGACAAAAUGUAGUUACUUUGUAGCCCAUCCAUCAUCCAAGAUGACCGCCAGCGAGGGUAAUUAAUUAAACAUAGGACCCUAUUGGAUAUGCAUACAAAUGUCUUCUUAUAGAGAACCAUUGAAUGGAAUGAAACCAAACAUAGCAUGAAUGUUCCUUAUGAGGUGCUGACCAGCUGUUGCAACUUUGUAACCGAUCCAUCAUCCAAGAUGGCCGCCAGUGGGGGACUUAGUGUAACAUUGGACCCUAUGGGAAAUACAUACAAAUGUCUUUUUUAGAGAACUACUGAAUGGAAUGAAACUAAACAUAGCUUAAAGGUUUCUUAUGAUAGUUUAUUAUGAGAUGCAGACCAUGUGUUGUUACUUUGUAGAUGAUCCAUCAUCCAAGAUGGUCGCCAGGAGGGACUUCGUUUAACAUAUAGGACCCUAUGGGAAAUACAUACAAAUGUCUUCGUUUAGAAAACCACUGAAUGGAAUGCAAUAUUAAACCAAAUUUGGCCUCAAUCAUUAUUUAGGUAUCUGUUAUGAUUUUUAUCUUUUUUUAUAUGAUUUCAAAAACACAAGUAGAAUCAGGUGAGCGACACAGGCUCUUGAGAGCCUCAAGUUUUGUUUGCCUUAAAGGAUGGACAGAAUCCAGUAUUUUAUUAUAAUUGACAAGCACAUAAGGCAUUAAUUCUAGUUUUUAGAUAUCUUUCACAGGAACUUAGUUUCUAUCCAUGGCAUGAUCUACUAUCCGUAUAUAUAAAGGAUAGCAGCGAUCUUGCCAUGGAUAGAAAACAAGUACCUGUGAUAUGUUUUCAUUGGAAUGACAAUAACCUUGAAGUAUAAUUUUAUAGUCAUCCUAUUAAAAUAUAUUGAUAGUUUUAAAACUUAGUUGAUGAAAUCCUUCAGGAAUGUAUAUGUAUGUCACAGCAUAUCAAACAAAUUGCUUCAUUUCACUCUAAUGUCAAAACUUCCAGGAAAUGUUCCAUAACUGUCAAUAUUAAACAAGUGGAAGAAACAUCUAUAUUUAAGCACUUUCAAUUACAUUAUUAUCUUCCUUAAGGUUAAAGGUUCAUUAUUUCCAUGUUGUUUGAGGGCUAAUCGGUCUGUUUUUAUAAUAUUGAUUAUUUAUAUCAUUUAGAUCUUGGUGAUAGCUCCUAUUAACAAAGGCAAUCGGUCAUCAAAUUGUUUAUGGUAGGUUUCAUAAUAAUUGUGACCUUUCAGGUCAAUUAUAGCAGAAAACUUUGGUGCGCAGACAGCAUACCAACAUGUGACAGAUCACAUGACAAUACAGAUAGAUUGAGGCGGACAUUCAACAGUUGACUCAUGAACUCUAGACCUCUUUUAUCUAUAUUAAAUCCAUUGUCAAUUAUAGAGAUGUGUUCUAAAUGAUUGGUCAGAGUUGAUGUAGGUUUGAUAUUGCUAAAUGAUUGGUCAGAGUUGAUGUAGGUUUAAUAUUCACACAAUUAUAAGUAUAUAGAUAUAAGAAGAUGUGGUAUGAGUGCCAAUGAGACAACUCUCCAUCACAAUCACAAUUUGUAAAAGUUGACCAUUAUAGGUCAAAGUAUAGCCUUCGAUCAACAUGGAGCCCAACCACAAGCUAUAUAAACAGCCCAAAAAAUAUUAAUAGUCCUUGUGAAUAAAAAUAUGAGGAAGCACAAUACUGACUAAAUAACUGAAAUUGAUUAGAUUCAGAUUAAGAAUGAACAUAUGUCAUACAUAAGAAAAAUGAUGCAUUGGUGUUUGAUUAAUGGAAUAAUGGCAAUAUGGUCAUGGUUGCAAUUAACAUUUAAAAAAAGGACAUUUAACAGGAAAAAAAUAAAUAAUCAUGACCAAAUUCACUUGUUACUAUUUCAGGGGACAAUAACAACCUAAAAAUUAUGGUUGCUAACUAAAACAACUAUUAAUGGCUGCUGCUCCUGAAACUAAAUUAGAAAGAUUAGUAAUAACAACAGGUAUUUAUUUUUUGGCAGAUAUUGCAACCAGAUUUGAAGUUCGUGAAAUUGCUUAACAUUAAAAUUUAUGAAAUCUGUCUUUAUCAUCAUCUAAGUCAGGACUACAUUUAUUUAAUAAUGAUAGAACUUGUCAAACUUUUACAAAUCUUCACAAAAUAUUCUGAAUUGCAGUCAAAUUGAGAUCAUGCAAAGUUCAGCUAGAACUUGUACUACUUUCACUUUUUCACACAUUUUGCUGUACACAAAAUCACAUUUAUAUUUUAUGAAAUUUAUUGAGUUACAAUUUACCCUAAAUUGUUCUAUUAUUUUGCAGGGUCAUACCAACACAUUGUCAAUACAGACAUUUUCUGAUAGUCAGAUAUAUUUAUUAUGCAAUUCCUUUUGCACUCUAAUUUAUAUUGAGGUAAGAUUUUAAAGAUUUUAUUGAAGUCAAAAUAUAUUUAAAGCCAUAUUGAAUUUGGGAUUAAAAGUCCUGUCAAUAUUUUUAUUUCACUAUGUUAUAUAUGCUAGUGCACAGUAAAUUAAAGAAACUGAAAUUGAUUCAAUGAAUUAAAUAAGCAUAUUAGUUUUUGUUGUCUAGUUCUUAUCUCUGAUACAAUAGCAGUAAGUCCCCCCUUUUGUUGGAAACAUUUGGUUGAUUAUAUAGGGAAUCGCUGAAGCAUGAUUGGAGAGGGCAUCCCUUAGGUCAGUCAGUGGGCCCCCUAACAAAAAGUUCUGAAUCUGCCAGUGCCUCUAUUAAAUAAAAAUUAACUGUCUUAGCAGGUAACAUCUUCUUAUCCUGCUAGAUAUAACCUUAUGUAAAAUGAAAUAUAAUACAAGGUCACCUCUCACAAGAGGUUAGUUUUCUCAGGACCUGGUGGUGAACUUUAUAUAAUGGUCUGACGGUAUGCUUAACUACCAUAACAUAUGGUCUGCUGUAUAAGAACCUCAAAAGGAUUACAGGUAUAGAAAAUUUUAAUUAUGUAUCAUAUUAUCAAAUUUCUCACUUCUAGCAAUUCAGUGUUGAAAGUGCUACACAUGCAUUUAUUUUUCACAAAUUUUUCAUAGUUCAGUGUCACGCUCUCUUCACGUUGAACCCUUGCAACUUAAUUGUUGGAGGGGUCUGUUGGUGGCCUGUUGCAAGGCCCAAUUUCUGACCCUUUCAAAUAGACUGUUGGUCUAAAUUUUACCUGACCUUAAUCUUUUAUUGUCAAUUUGUGUUCUCGUCCUGAACAUGCUUGAAAUAUUUGCCACUGGACAUUUAUCAAGCAGCAUUCAAUCAAUCAAUCAUUGGUUAAUUUUAUAUAAAUUUUGCUGAUGAAAACAAUAAAGAAGCACUGAACUGUUAUUGAUCUUGUGUUAACAUUAAAAUAAAUUUUCUUAUAAAACUAUUUCUUAAACCUGCCUCAUUAACCCUGGACAUUUUUAUUACUUGUCUUUUCAGAUUAAAACAACUUUGAUGAAUACAGACAUUAAAAGAAAAUUGAUGGAUCAUUUGGGAGUUUAAGAAGAAUUACCAGCUUUAUUGAUUGGAUUAUAUAGUUUAAUAGGUAUCUAUAAAAUUUACAGUUUGGAAUAAAAGCUAAUUUACCAGCUUGAAAAUAUACAUGACUAAUUUUAUCAUGGGAAAAUUUAAUUGAUUGAAUUUCUAGCUAUUUCAUUGAUCUUAACUUUUACUAUGCAGAUCAAUUAAGCUUAUAUAUUGCUUAAAGUACAAAUAUAUUAAAUUAUUUAUUAGCUAUUACAAAACACGAACAUUUUACUGAAAAUAAGUAAAAAGUCUUAAUAAUUAUAUAAUCAAUGGCAAACACAUGACAAAAAUAUGCAAAAAAACAUAAAAACAUCAAAAAUAAAUGUUGUAUUACUGGCUAUGUAGUAUGUACAUUUGUAUCUGUUAUGAGAUUUUUGAGAUACCAUAAAGGGUUUACUAAAAUGUUUUAUCAUAAAUAUGCUUGAAAUAUUUUCCACUGGACAUUAAACACAAAACAGUCAAUGAUCAUAUAUCUUUUCAUAUGACACUAGAAUUAUUACUCAGUGAUAGGCAGAUUAACCCAUUUAUUCAUAAAAUUUAUAAUGGAAACAACCCGACCAAAGAGCAGAAAACAGUCUGAAGGUCACCAAUGAAUCCUCAACACAGGAAGAAAAUCCAGCAUGCAAAUAUUUCAUUACAUAUCCUAAUAAAUAAAAAUGCAUCUUGAAAUUUAUGAUAUAUUGAAUCGUAAUUGAACAAUAAUAUUAAUGUGAAAUUUUAUUAAGUUAUUUGUUCGUCAUGAAAGCUAGACUGUACAUCAGACCAUUUUCCAAUUGACAAUCAUUAGAAGAAUUAAUAGAACUUAAUUGAAUAUAUUGUGAUUGAAGUAAUAGAAUUGUUUGAUGGUUUUCAGUGCUGUAGGUUAGCAUGGGGUCACAUUUAUAUAUAUUCAGAAAUCAAUAAAACUGGACAUACACUUUUAUAUAAUAGGGAUAUCGGUCAUAAAAUUCUUAAUGUUUAUUCUGUGUUAUCUUAUUUUACUUAUUAGCACAGAUUUAAUGUGUUGAAGACAAUGGUAUCAUAUGACUGGAUGUUUUGAUUAUAACAGUUUAAGUCGUGUGUAAAAACUCGUUUGACAGUUUUCAAGGUAUGUGUUUUUAUUCCACACAAUUUCAGUUAAAUCCAUUAAAUUUCAUGAUGUUUCAGGAUAUUUUCAAUCUAGACAUUUUGUUGAGGCAAACUUUUUGGCGCCUUGAAUAUGAAAAUUUAUAAAGUGUAGUAUAUAUACCAUAUGACAUCCUGAAGAUAGCGUUUUGCACCAAUCUGCAUUUCAUUUGCUCAGAUUUUUUCUUACACUUGCACCCAUUUUUUCUUUCAUUUGGGCUGAUUGUGUUCAGGUAAAUAACAGGUGAAUGCUAUUUCUUAUUUAUAAAAAAAACCUCUUCUGUUAGUCAGUUGUACACAUAUAUGAAUUGUCAAUUAUCACUUUCCUCCAUAAUGACGCCUUUAGACGCCUGUGUAGUGCCUCAGUUGAAAAAUCUUGCCUACGAUAAAUCUGUAUGCCUAAGUGUUUUUUAAAAUCGUGCUGUGAUCGUUUAUUUUGUAGAAUUUAAUCACCUUUCCAGUUUAGGGGUUUCCCUAAACGAUUAAUACAACUUUUAAAUUCAGUUGUUUAAUUGAUGCAUUCGUGGUAUUGUUAUUCUAUAGAAGAAAAGUAUCUAACCGACGCAAGGCGGCUCCAUCUUGGGCUGUGGGUAACUUAAGUUACCCACAGCCGUUUAAGCACAGUGAAAAUAAAUUAAAUAUGUCACAGAUAUGAAAUUUAUAUGACAAUCAUUUGAAUGAUUUAUACUUUGAAGUCUUGUCAUUAAAUAUAUUUAAAAUGUUGUUAUAAUGUCAUGUAUAUCACAAAAAGGUGUAAAGGCGAAAUCACAAAAUUAUGAAAAACGCAAAAACAGGAAAUCGCGAAGACACAAAAUCACAAGAAAACACUACAACGAAAGGAAAAAUAUAUCUUGUUUUUGCCAUUUGGACAUUGCGAAUUUGUGUUUUUUUAGUUUUCGUCCUAUAGAAUAUGAUGGCUGAAAAUAUGAAAACGUGAAAUGGCCUUAACCGGCCACCAUACAAAUAAGCAGUUUUCAACAUUUUUUUUCGCCAUUCUUUGAGAUACUGAUUUGAUAAUUGGUUUAUAGAUUAUCACGAAAAGUUACAGACAAAUUUAAAUUUUGUUUUGAUCUGAUGAUUUUGUGCAGAGUUAUGGUCCUUUUACUAAGAAAAUUCACUGAAAAUUCAGUUUUCCACACUUUUUUGUCAUGCUUGAAGAUAUUGAUCUGAUAAUUGAUAUAUAGUUUUAUCAGGAAAGAUAUUGAUAAUUGGUAUAUAGUUUUAUCAGGAAAAGAAACAGACCAAUUUCAAAAUUUUGUUUAACUCUGACGAUUUUAUGCAGAGUUAUGGUCUCUGGAUUAGAAUGAUAUUGACUUGAUCAAGCUAGCAUUUUGUUCCAGUACAAUGACUUUUUAACUGGUAGAGGACUAUGUAUUGCCAUGCAACACAACAUCUUAGAAUGUUUUUUUUUUCAAAUUGACAACAUCAAUCUUUGAAUUAUCAACCUUAAUCUCUGAAUUUCCAACUUUAAAAUUAAAAUUAUCAACUUUAAUCUUGGAAUUAUUAACUUUAAUAAUGGAAUUAUCAACUAUAAUCUUUGAAUAAUCAAAAUUAAACUGGAAAUUCUGAAGAGUAAUUCCAUAAGGUUGGGUAUAAAUAUACAAGGAAAAAUUCAAAAUUCAAAUGUUAAGCUUAGAUAUAAGUUUUAUAUAGGCUUGUAUGCAGUUUUUAUGAAAUUAAAAGAUCCUCCAAAAUACAACUUUUCCUACAAUAGACCACUUUCGAGUUAGUCCACCACCGUAAAAAACUCGUCAAUUAUGCGUGCCUUUAUGACUUCAUUUACCAGAUAGAAGGGGUCACCUGUAUCCCUGCACCAUUUACGUUCAUAAAGUGUCUUAGUGAACGUCAUUGUGCAGGAUAAACUAGAAAUAAUGUUUGUCUGGUAGGUACUUAAUCACAAUUACCUAAUGGCUGAUUGUCAAUUAUGAGAAUUCAGUUUGACGAAUAAUUCGUGCAAUAUAGAAUCAUAGUUUUCCAGCCAAUUGCUCAACAUGGGAGCAUAAGUGGCGACGCCCCUAAACGCUCAAAUGAUGUUCACUAAAACCAGAGUUUUUGACGGAAAUGCAUCAAACUCAAACGUUGUCUAUUGGCUAAUAAUUGGUAUUCAGAAAAAUAAUUGAAUCCACAACUACUGUCCAUUUGAGAAAUGCAUAUAUGGUUCAAUGUCCUAGAAACGAAUCUUUUUGAAAGUAAAACAAGAAAUUGUUUGAAAACUUGUAUGGCAUUUAAAUACAUGACCUGUAGAUGGCACUUUGAAAAUGGGGUACAACCUGUACAAUUUAUACAUUUCAGUUAUUUGUUGAUCAGCUUCAUAAUUAUUUAGAAAGAUAUAUGAUGAAGUGUGUCAAAUUGUUUUCUUGAUUCUAAUGUAUGAAUUGUAGACCCUUGUAACAUGUGUAACAUGUUGAUGAAUAUGCGGACAACUCUUAAUGUAAACUUUAUUUGAAAAGGAUAAUAUUUGAAGAAGAAAAAAAAAAAUAAUAUGUGAUAUGUUAUAUUUUUUAUUUUAGAAAAAGAAAGUAAAGUUGAAAGAACUUCAUUUUAUCAAAGCCAGAACAGGAGUUACAUCAAACAAGAAAGCAUCAGGUUUAUAAAAAUAUGAUUCUUAAACAAUACAGUUCAGUUGUAAAAAAAAAACCAAUAAAAGGAUUCUGUGCACACAAGACACAUUUCACUCCAUCCAAAUGUUUGGAAAGCCAAAAAAAAAAAAAAGAAUUGAAAGAACAUGAAGAAAGAAAGAAAGUUUAAUGGCUACUAUAAAAAAAUGACAAUACAGGGACAAUAUAAAAUCCCAAGUUGAAGACACCAACAACAGCAUGGCAAAAAAUGAAAAGGCAAAAAAUAAAAAAACACUCUAAAGAAAACUACUGACUUCAGCAACACAGAUGAUUAUAUCUUACAGUAUAAAUAAGUAUUACUAAUCAAGGACAAUAGACAGGAAAAAGUGGCAAUUAGGCAUGUUGUUGCAGUAAUGUAGCAUUUUAAUUUUAAUAUUUGCGUUUAAGUAUGAAAAUAAAAUAAAGGCAAGACAUUUAUCUGUGUCAACAAUUUGGUUUUCUCUCUGUAUCCACAGAGAAAUCUGAAAGAAGCAGCAAUUUACUAAUGUUUAAAUAAAUUUCCAAUAUUUUGACUUUGAACACUGAUUUAUAAAACAAAUGUAAAAAUAAUGACCACAUCCUAAUAUUUAACGAC